GAUGAACGCUGGCGGCGUGCCUAACACAUGCAAGUCGAACGGAGUCGUUUUGGAAAUCUCUUCGGAGAUGGAAUUCUCGACUUAGUGGCGGACGGGUGAGUAACGCGUGAGCAAUCUGCCUUUAAGAGGGGGAUAACAGUCGGAAACGGCUGCUAAUACCGCAUAAAGCAUUAAAUUCGCAUGUUUUUGAUGCCAAAGGAGCAAUCCGCUUUUAGAUGAGCUCGCGUCUGAUUAGCUAGUUGGCGGGGUAACGGCCCACCAAGGCGACGAUCAGUAGCCGGACUGAGAGGUUGAACGGCCACAUUGGGACUGAGACACGGCCCAGACUCCUACGGGAGGCAGCAGUGGGGAAUAUUGCGCAAUGGGGGAAACCCCGACGCAGCAACGCCGCGUGAUUGAAGAAGGCCUUCGGGUUGUAAAGAUCUUUAAUCAGGGACGAAACAAAUGACGGUACCUGAAGAAUAAGCUCCGGCUAACUACGUG
rnacentral:rRNA from 1 species